AGUGAACGCUGGCGGUAGGCCUAACACAUGCAAGUCGAACGGCAGCACAGUAAGAGCUUGCUCUUACGGGUGGCGAGUGGCGGACGGGUGAGGAAUACAGCGGAAUCUACUUUUUCGUGGGGGAUAACGUAGGGAAACUUACGCUAAUACCGCAUACGACCUACGGGUGAGUGCAGGGGAUCUUCGGACCUUGCGUGAUUGAAUGAGCCGAGGUCGGAUUAGUUAGUUGGCGGGGUAAAGGCCCACCAAGGCGACGAUCCGUAGCCGGGCUGAGAGGAUGAUCAGCCACACUGGAACUGAGACACGGUCCAGACUCCUACGGGAGGCAGCGGUGGGGACUAGUGGAAACUGGGCGCAAGCCUGAUCCAGCCACACCGCGUGGGUGAAGCAGGGCUUCGUGUUGUAAAACCCUUUUGUUGGGGAAGACAAGCAGCAGGAGAAAAGACCGCUGUUCUGACGGUACCCAAAGAAUAAGCACCGGCUAACUUCGUG
rnacentral:rRNA from 1 species